GCAAUGUUUUUAUAGGGAGGCUAAUAGGAAAUUUUGGUUGUUGGAAAAUAUCACCAAGCCCCACCCCUUUCUCCCUCUCCUUCUUUCUCCAUGCUGGUCUCUCUCCCUCCCCGGCUUCUUCCAUUUUUGCCACCUACACCUCCCUCAACCCAUCGAAACUCCUUCCUCCCCCUUCCUUCACCGUCACCGCCCUUAUUCCCCCAUUUUCGCUGAAAAAUCGAAAUGAGCAGAAGGAGGAGCUGUCACCCUUGCUACCAGAACAAACUUCUGCCACCCCUUUCUCGUAAAUUCGAUGAUGGAUUCGUGCGCCCUACCAUUUAAAACCCCCAGGUCAAGCUUCCCCGCCGUUUUCCCUUGGUGGCAGUGGUGUGUAAGUCUCGCCGGAGCCGAAACUUUCCAGCCUAGAUCCGGUGGUUCUCGGCGAGUUUUUGGCGGAAGAAAUUGCAUAUUCAGACUCCUAGAAAGUCAAGCUUCGUGUAGGUGUCUCCGGAUCCGAACAUAAUCCACUGGUUCAGCUAGCUCCACUCGAGGCGUAGGAGGAGUUAGUAGAGAUUCGACAGAACUGUGAGUUAGAGUCAUAUAUCCUACUGUCUGUGUCAUAUCUCCAUUUAAGUAAAAUUCUUAAAUGAAUAAUUAUUAUGGUUAUAUUAGUAGUAUAAGUAUUAUUAAAUUUAUUUUCACUACUAUUAAUAAUAUUAUUAUUAUUCAUGCAUUACAUUUAUUAUUAUCAUAAUUAUUAUUAUUAUUUUUAUUAUUAUUAUUAUUAUUAUUAUUAUUAUCAUUGUGGUUGUUCAAUUAUUAUUAAUUUUAUAAAAAUUGCAUAUAAUAUUAUUGAUGCUAAUAUUUUUUGGCUCGGGAUGAGGCAACAUUAGAACACAUUACCUGAUGGCUACAUCAGGAUCGCAUCCACACCGAUGAAAUCAGAGUCAGGUAAUAGAGGAAUAUUCGGUGAUGUACCUUGGUCGAGCAUAGCUCUCUGGGCCUAUGGAAGUCUGAUUUUUCGGAGAAAGGUCCUUGGUCGAGCGGUACUCUCUGGGUGCCAGCUGUAUUAGUGUUUAAGUGGCCAAACUGGACUUAAGGACCAUGUUCGAGCUUUGCUCUCUGGGCGCCAAUCUUAUUGGAAUAAGAGAGCUAAAAGGCUGCUAGAAUUGGAGGUUCAGGAUUCUGCUGAAGUACUUAUCCCGUAACAACUAGGUUCUACACUGUCUUUUGCCGAACAACCCGAAUAUAUAUAUAUAUAUUAUGUUUGUUAUUUGAGUUAUUGAUUAGUUAGACUUGCUAUGGGAUAUGGUGACUUUAAGUUUAUCCAUCUCUUAGUACCGAUUACGAACCCACGGAUCAGGUCGUGACACUCAGAAACACUGUAGGUAAAUGGAUCUUAGGCUUGUCGAUGAAGAUGGUUAUCUGCUCCCCUUUAGAAGCGGAGCUUUGGGGCCUUUUGCAUGGCUUAAGAAUCGCAUGGAACAUGCAAAUUAAAAAGAUUAAAGUUUGAGGUUGGCUCAAGCGUUAUUGUGUGUGCUCUCUCCCACAACUAUAAUUUUGUUGGCAGACUGAAAAAUGUUUCUCUUUAGUUUUGUUUUGUUUGGGCUGUUUUAGUCCUCCUCUUUUAACCCAAAAAAAAAAAAAAGAAAGAAAGAAAGAAAGAGAGCGAAGAAGUAGAAAAGUUCACGUGGAUGUUAUACAUGCCAUUUUAAAUGUGUUGAAGGGCCAAAUAUAGAAAACAAAUUCAAACUAUUGAUUAGAUUAAUUGGAUUUUUUUGGAUCGGUUAAUGGGCUUUCAAUAGAUUGAGAUGCUAUACAAUCCACUUAUUUUUAUUUUA